AUAGGGCUUAUAAUGUUUUACCCUUAAAGGUCAUGUUUGCAUGAAACUGUGCUGUGUGUUUGUUUAACUUGUUGAGUUACAGAAAGUCAACUCGGCCAGUUGGGGUGUGAAAAACAACAGGAUGCAGGAGCUAUUUUGUGCAAGCUACUGCAGUUAUUUGUGCAAACGGGGACUUCCAAAGCAGAAGUGAAAAGUUCCAUCGAAGAAGACCCACCCCAACUCAACUCAUAAAUAUCUUGGGUCAAGGGACAGGCUAUAAGCCUUGCAGCUCAACUGUCAGGUGGUUCGCAUUGGUUUUGUGUAGUGAAAAAUUUGAACUUUGGCGGAAUUUCGCGCCGCGUUAACAAAUCAGGAGCCUGCCUGCUGCUGUGGUGGCAGCCCCGCCCGGAGUCACUCAUUCAAGCAGUCACUCGGAGCUAUAUGACACAAGUUCUUAUUUCUAUAGGAUACAGGAAUAAAAAGGACCUCGCUUUGAAGAGUGUCAGUAAGGACUUUGGGCAACCUGAUGCUGUAACCAUAAAGCAACCAGGACAACACACCUGGAGUGACCGAAAGCAGGAUGAAGAAAGAUUCGGACGAGAAAAUAUCAACUGGUGCCCAUGAGGAGACAUUGUUCUUGGACCUGCUUUUUCUGUUUAGUAAUAAGUGGUUUUAUGUGGUUAAAUAAAAGUAAUUUAAUAUUCAAUCCACAAGCAAAUUUCCUACAUUUUCUUAAAGGGGUAGUUCACCCAAAAAGGAAAAUUCUGUCAUCAUUUACACAAACAGUUUGGUUACAAACAUUUUUUUUACAAUAUCUACCUUCGUGUUUAUCAGAACAAAGAAAGUUAUGCGGGUUUGUAACAACAUGAGAGUGUGUAAAUGAUGACAGAAUUUUCACUUUUGGGUGAACUACCCCUUUAACAUUUUUAUACCCAGGGGUAAAAGAAAUGUAUGUUGAACAUUUUUAGUUUGCCUUUUUUUGUUACUGCUACUUUCAACAAGUCUAAUUAUUCAGCCAAGCUUAUUUUGUACUUUAAGAAAUGAACAGCUUUUAUGGGUUUUAAGGCCGAGAAAAAUGCCCAGUGGUCCCACAAUUUUCCCUCAGUAUGCCCACACUUUGUCCAUUGUGCCCACAUUUUUCCCAUGUAUUUGUAUUUAAAUACAUUUUUCCACACAGUAUUUUGUAUUUGUGAUAUCUGUGAAUUUGUGAUAGUACUUUUUAUUUGAAUUUUAAAACAAUUACAUAUAUGCGUGUAUGCCUAUCUCAGAUCACAUGCAUGUAAAAGGCAGUUUCUGGUAUAAAUAGCAGAACACAAAAGGUUUUCUGUGUCAUUAGAAAUGCAGUCAAAAAGUGGGACAACAAGGAUAACUGAUCAUUAAGGUAAGAACCUUAACCAUGCCAGGCGAGGGAUAUAUUAUGGAAAAAACAAACCAAUUAAUGAAAUAUUCACGUCAUAUGUGUAUUUGACAUAUAAAUUCGUAUUACCUUUUUGUUAGCUGUCCUAUUUUGAGAUACGUAUUAGCCUAAUAAUAAUAAUAGUAUAAUGUAUUAUAUAAUAUUAAUUCUUAAAAUGAGGAUAAACCCUUGGAAAGACAUAGGAAAUAAUAUAGAAAUUUAGCCCUUAUAUGGACGUCUUUUCAACGACAAUGAAAAGUCUUUUAACCUUUCACUUUUCAACCAAAUUUAGCCUUUUUCUAGACGUCGAUUUAUAGGCGUCUUUUCAACGGCAUGAAAAACACGUCUUUUCACCUUUCACUUUUCAACCAGAAUUUCACAUCAUUAAGACGUCUGGAGAAGUCGUCGUUUCGAUGUCUUUUCAACCAGAUUUUGCUGGGUGGGUGGGCUUCCAUAAACAUUCUCUUUAUCUAUCUUGUUUACACACAGAUAGAACAGUCAGAGCCGGCGCCAGACCAUAACUUACAGGGGGGCACUCGGCUUCCAACGGGGGGCACGCAAUAGCAACAAUAACUUGCAAAAACAAGACAUUAAAACAACAAAUACAGCAAGCACACACUCAUACAACUAGUAAAGACUGUCAGUUCAUUUCCCGUAUAAAGUGCAAAAGACCACAAACUAUGCGCAAAACUAUUGAACUUCGACCGCGGCGUGAGCGCAAGCUGAGCUCCGCUGCGCUUGGCUCGGCGCAAGACAUUAAAAUGAAUGGGUUUCAUAGCGCAGCGCACACCGCGUCCUAGCUUUAAAAAAGCUGCUUUACCAUAAUCACGUCGUAAUGCUGUUAACGGUCUAUAGCCACACAUUUAAGCUUACGUAAUUUAAAACAACGCUAACUUACCUUUAAAAUAGCUGAAGACGGCGUGUAAGAACAUUAAACUUCCUUAAAACAGUGUCCUGUAGAUUUGUAAAUUCCACCUCGACCUCUAAUCUCUGAGUUUGCAGGCAUAGCCAGUCUGUGUUUGCAUGAAGAUGAAGCAGGCGGUGCUGGUUCGUUCUAAAUGUUCUAAUAUCCAUAUUUUACACGAUCCAUAAAAUGCCACGAAAAAACACGUUGCUAGUAUCAAGUCACAAAUAUGCUAAAGACGUAAGACGGGUGAGACGCGGCAAUACAUCCAAUCAGAGAAACUGGUCUAUUUUAAUUAAAGAAAACAUAUAUCAACUAUAUUUUCCUCAUUUGAUUACAUUACAAGUCAUGAAACAUUCAAUGUUUAAUUUAUUUGAAUUAUUCUUGAUAUAUAUUAAAGUAAUAAAAAACUUUGUAGGGGGGGCACAACAACCUGUUCGGGGGGGGCACUGCCCGCGACUGCCCCCCCUUGACCCCGGCCCUGAGAACAGUUCUUUGAAACUUCCCAAAUGUGAAACUGAACCACCAAGAUAUAUAUAAAAUAUAGAAAUACAAUGAAUUAAUGAAUGAUAUAAUAAAAUAUAGAAAUAUAAUAAAGAAUGAAUAAAUGAAUAAUGAAUAAAAACAAUAAUGAAUAAAUUAAUUAAUAAACAAUAAUGUAAUAAUAAAAAUGAUAAUAAUGAAAUUGAUAAUGAUAAAAUAAUAUUUAAUAAUCAAAUACAAUAAUUAAAUGGAUAAUAACUAAUGAUUAUAAAAUGAUUAUGUAAAUAAAUGAUUAAAGAUAAAAAACACAAUAAUAAAAACAUUCUGCACGUGAGGAUCUAAGGUAGGAUCCUUCACUCCCCCCUCUUAAUCAUAUAAGACAAAAUUAAAUGAUUAUAGCAAGCAAACUUUCAUAAUCUUUAUCAAAACACAGCUUUAAAAAGCUUGGAUGGCCAGUCCUUACUUUUCCCUUCUACAUGCUCUUAAAAGAACAGGUCAUUUCUGUGUUUCCGCGUACCAGCGUCGGUUGAGGGAGUAUGUCUUAUACUGAAUAAUGGCCUUGAUGGGCCUGUCACAGUCAAGUGUCUAAUAAGACAAAUCAACACUCUUAUGACUCUUAUGUACAAGAGCAAGAUGACAAACACUUUUGAAAUUGCGACUACCAAAGGUGGUUUUUAAAUGAUUCCAAAGUGGUUCUAAUAUUGAUGUAAACCAGUCAGAUGAGAAAAGACCAUGGUUUUUAUUUAGCUUAGCUAUUCGUUUGUGCAAAACUUUAGCCAGAUUAUCAACCACUUUCCCAGAAUCUUCCGGAAUGUAUAGGCAACAUAACAUUCGCUCGCAAUUACAAUUACAUGUGCUCCCCUGAGAAGCCAACAGCAUGUCAAGUGCCAUUUGAUUUUGCAAAACAACUUUUCUAUAGAAAAUAAAAGUAGAAAAAGCAAUAGAAAUAAAAGUGACAUUCGCUGUAGCUUCAAAUGCUUCAUUUAAUGUGUGUACUUCGUUUUGUAAAUCAGUUACUUCCCAGAAUGGAACAAGUCUUCCUAAACAUUUCUCAGUAUCAGAAAUCGAACGUAUGUCUCAUGAUUAAGUGCUACUUGUCGUGACUUUGGUUUUUGUGACUGCUGUAUUUUUGUUUCUCUGUUCAUGUUUCUGUGUUGACUGUUUUCACACAUGCGCGGCUCUGUCACGGGUGUCAUUGGUGUCAUUUCUUUCACCUGCGUCUCUCACCUGAUAUUCAUUUGAUGCCCAAUCGGUUUAGUAUUUAAUCCCUGUGUGUGUGUUUGUUCCUUGCAAGUUCGUCUGUGUAUGUUCUCGCCAUUACUAGCUUAGCUAGUUUCCAGUCUUGUCUUGUGUCGAUUUCUAGUUUGGAUUUAUUUAUUUCAUUUGUGCUAUCUGCUGUCCAGGAAUUAUAGCUGGGAUUCUGUUCACACCCUCGGCUCUCUGGACUGUUUCUCUGCUGCCUGUUUCGGAUUAUCUUCAACCUCAGUUGGAUUUACAGACUGAUCUAUUACUUAACUGCAGAGACUCGUCGCGGCAUUGUCGCUGUCCAUCGGAGAGGUCCUUCAUCACUGGAGCUGUCCAGCUUCUCUCAUCUGUUUCUCUAACGCUCUCUCUCUCUCCCUCUGCCCGCCGCAGGAUUUACCCCCUGUCCCAGUGGGUUCCGUGACGCGGCGCUCACGGGAGCGGUCUACGCACCCUACCCCGUAUCGGGGCCCCCAUACUCUCUCCCACCGUUCGUUUGUCUGGCCGGAGCCCGAACGUGUGUGGUUCAUCGUUCCGGUGCCAGUGUGUGAUCUCCACCCCAGCCGUCUGCCUUGGUGUGGCUUUGAGCCCAGACGUGCUUUUGACAUUUUCCUCUCAUUAUCAUUUAAAUAAAGUCUUCUGUUAUCCGCA